rnacentral:rRNA from 1 species
GACGAACGCUGGCGGCGUGCUUAACACAUGCAAGUCGAGCGGAAAGGCCCUUUCGGGGGUACUCGGGCGGCGAACGGGUGAGUAACACGUGAGUAAUAUGCCCUGGACUCUGGGAUAGCCACCGGAAACGGUGAUUAAUACCGGAUAUGACACCUUGCUGCAUGGUGGGGUGUGGAAAGUUUUUUCGGUCCAGGAUGUGCUCGCGGCCUAUCAGCUUGUUGGUGAGGUAAUGGCUCACCAAGGCUUUGACGGGUAGCCGGCCUGAGAGGGUGACCGGUCACACUGGGACUGAGACACGGCCCAGACUCCUACGGGAGGCAGCAGUGGGGAAUAUUGGACAAUGGGCGGAAGCCUGAUCCAGCAACGCCGCGUGAGGAAUGACGGCCUUCGGGUUGUAAACCUCUUUCAGUACCGACGAAGCGUGAGUGACGGUAGGUACAGAAGAAGGACCGGCCAACUACGUGCCAGCCGCCGCGGUAAAAC